UUAAAAUUUAAAUAAUUAAUUUAGAAGAAUAAUAGUUAUGUUCUUUAAAUUUAAAAAAAUUGGCGGUAUUUAAAACUAAUUAGGGGAACUUGUUUUUUAAAUGAUAAUCCGCAUGAUACCUUACUUUAAUUAAUUUAAUUUAUUUACUGCCGUUAUCAGAUUAUUUUUAAAAAAUUAAAAUUUUCUAAAUUAUUUAUAAAUAAUUAUUUCAGGUCAUGGUGUAGUUUAUAUUAAAGUUAAAAUGAGUUACAAUAAAAUUUAUUUAAUAUGAAUAUUUAAUUGCAAUAUUAAAUUAAAGGUGGACUUAAUAGUAAAAUAAAAUAUUACAUUUAUUUGAAUUAAGAAUUAAAUGUGU
rnacentral:rRNA from 1 species